rnacentral:rRNA from 1 species
UACACGACCGUACCGCAAACCGGCACUGGUGCGCGAGAUGAGUAUUCUAAGGCGCUUGAGAGAACUCAGGAGAAGGAACUCGGCAAAUUGACACCGUAACUUCGGAAGAAGGUGUGCCUUUAGUAGGUGAACCUGUACAAGGGGAGCCCAAUGAGGUUGCAAAAAAUCGGUGGCUGCGACUGUUUAAUAAAAACACAGCACCCUGCAAACACGAAAGUGGACGUAUAGGGUGUGACGCCUGCCCGGUGCUGGAAGAUUAAAUGAUGGGGUGCAAGCUCUUGAUUGAAGUCCCAGUAAACGGCGGCCGUAACAAUAACGGUCCUAAGGUAGCGAAAUUCCUUGUCGGGUAAGUUCCGACCUGCACGAAUGGCGUAACGAUGGCCACACUGUCUCCUCCUGAGACUCAGCGAAGUUGAAAUGUUUGUGAUGAUGCAAUCUCCCCGCGGAAAGACGGAAAGACCCCAUGAACCUUUACUGUAGCUUUGUAUUGGACUUUGAACAGAUCUGUGUAGGAUAGGUGGGAGGCUUUGAAGUGUGGUCGCUAGAUCGCAUGGAGCCAACGUUGAAAUACCACCCUGGUGUGUUUGAGGUUCUAACCUAGGCCCGUAAUCCGGGUCGGGGACAGUGCAUGGUAGGCAGUUUGACUGGGGCGGUCUCCUCCCAAAGCGUAACGGAGGAGUUCGAAGGUACGCUAGGUACGGUCGGACAUCGUGCUAAUAGUGCAAUGGCAUAAGCGUGCUUAACUGCGAGACUGACAAGUCGAGCAGAUGCGAAAGCAGGACAUAGUGAUCCGGUGGUUCUGUAUGGAAGGGCCAUCGCUCAACGGAUAAAAGGUACUCUGGGGAUAACAGGCUGAUACCGCCCAAGAGUUCAUAUCGACGGCGGUGUUUGGCACCUCGAUGUCGGCUCAUCUCAUCCUGGGGCUGUAGCCGGUCCCAAGGGUAUGGCUGUUCGCCAUUUAAAGAGGUACGUGAGCUGGGUUUAAAACGUCGUGAGACAGUUUGGUCCCUAUCUUCCGUGGGCGCUGCAGAUCUGAGGAAGCCUGCUCCUAGUACGAGAGGACCGGAGUGGACACACCUCUGGUGUAUCGGUUGUCACGCCAGUGGCAUUGCCGAGUAGCUAUGUGUGGAAGAGAUAACCGCUGAAAGCAUCUAAGCGGGAAACUCGUUUCAGGAUGAGAUCUGCCGGGGCCUUGAGCCCCCUAAAGAGUCGUUCAAGACCAGGACGUUGAUAGGUCGGGUGUGGAAGCGCAGUAAUGCGUUAAGCUAACCGAUACUAAUUGCUCGUGCGGCUUGAUCAG